UACAGAGGUCCCGAGCGUUGUUCGGAUUCAUUGGGCGUAAAGGGUGCGUAGGUGGCGCUGUAAGUCGGGUGUGAAAUUUCGGAGCUUAACUCCGAAACUGCAUCGAUACUGCGGUGCUUGAGGACUGGAGAGGAGACUGGAAUUCAUGGUGUAGCAGUGAAAUGCGUAGAGAUCAUGAGGAAGACCAGUGGCGAAGGCGGGUCUCUGGACAGUUCCUGACACUGAGGCACGAAGGCCAGGGGAGCAAACGGG
rnacentral:rRNA from 1 species